GUAAGCUGACGAGGCUGACAUAAAGGCCGACAUUCUGCACUGUUGUUUAGACUGAGUGUCUUUAAGGGUGGAGGUGUGUGCUCACUACUCUCCUCGCAGGGGAAGUCUGCAAAGAGAAAAGAAUCAAACCGACAGAGGCCACUCCGAAAGCGAAGGGUCUGAUCCAUCUGUCCUUAAACCUUUACAUCCUACUUGGCUUUUGCUAAACAAACCAAAGCAUCAUGGGAAGAGGUGAGAGCGAGGAGUGGGACGAAAAGCACCAGGACACGAGGCAAACUCAGCCAGAGAAACACAAGGUCACAGAGAGUAGAAGCUCAGAGAGCAGUUGUCCCAAGUGCUGCUUGCGGACCAGGGACUGUCUGAUGAGUCCAGAGUGCGGACGGGCACUUCAGAUCUCCAGCGUCGUCGCCAUGUGUGGAAUGUGCAUCCGUUUUUUCGUAUAAUCCAACCUUGGACAUCAGGACCAGUUUUUCUAGGCUGUUAUCAGCUUCCCCGUGCACCUUUAAUGAGAAGGAUGGAGUCUGGCUUCCUUCUAAUCUAAUUUGAGAUAUAUACAUAUAUAUAUAUAUAUAUAUGUAAGCCAAUUUAUAGUAUUUAACAAUUUCUAUUCCUCCUUAUUUUCCAUUCAAAACUUAUUUAUUUAAAGUAAACAAAUUCACUCUCUGUCUACUGUAUAGAAAACAAACUAGAAAAACAAUCAUUAUGACUGUUAGUGAUGUUGGUCUGCAUGUCUUUGCAAAAGGUUUCUUUGGAAGCCUGAAUCUACGACUGAUCAGCAUUUAGUCAAUCCUAAUGUUAUAUAUUUAUUGUUGAGAGGGGUUUCAAUAAUGUAACACAACUGUAAUAUAACGACAGUAAGAAGAAACAGAAUGAUGUGUGGAGGAAUGAAUACUACAGUGUAACCCUGACAUUUUCCCUUAUCUUAUCAUCUGUUAAAAUACAAGUAAACUGACCAGAUGGUGGGGGUGGUGUGGGGGUGGGGGGAGACUGUGACACAUCUGAAGAAAAAAAAACUUAAAAUAAAGCUUUCAUAAACAAGGACAAAGGUGUAUUGAAUUCAAUGCCACCAAUGAUACCUGAAAUUAAUUAAAAGGCUUUGACAAGCAUGAUGUAACUUAA